rnacentral:tRNA from 1 species
GCCUGGGUGGCGGAACUGGUAGACGCAAGGGACUUAAAAUCCCUUAUACCUUAGUGUAUGUGAGGGUUCAAGUCCCUCCCUAGGCA